CAAUGUGUGGGCAAUCUGGCUGUGACAUUUGCUACCCCACGGAUCGAGCGCCAGGGUUGAUUGAGCUGAUCUGGCUAACUAGGUGAAUGUCCCUUUCCUCCCUUGUCACUCCAUGUGCUUCAUUCCCAAAGUUGCAUGCUUGGUGAAAGAGGUCAAACUUCCCCCAAAUUGAGACUGACAGAUCUCCUCCGGUCAAGUGUAUAUGAAUAGCUGCACUCCUCUGCUAGAACCUCCAAACAAGCUCUUGAGAUGUUAAGUGUGGUGAAGCCUAAACACCAUCAAAGGUGCCAGUUGAGGAUGUGGGAGACAAUACCAUAGUCU
ensembl:misc_RNA 7SK 7SK RNA